UGCGUAGGCGGAAUAUUAAGUCAGUGGUGAAAUCCUGCAGCUUAACUGUAGAACUGCCAUUGAUACUGGUAAUCUUGAAUUUAGUUGAGGUGGGCGGAAUGUGUAAUGUAGCGGUGAAAUGCUUAGAUAUUACACAGAACACCGAUUGCGAAGGCAGCUCACUAAACUAACAUUGACGCUGAGGCACGAAAGCGUGGGGAGCGAACAGGAUUAGAUACCAUGGUAGUCC
rnacentral:rRNA from 1 species